GUGGAUUCUGCCUAGGGAACAAUUGCCCUCUGUGAGUUGUCACGCCCCACCCUGCUUUCUGGCCAUAUCCGUAUCCCUCCACGGAUGGCCUUGCCCCUCGCCCACCCACCACCUUGCAGUUGGCAGCUGAAGUCAGUGGUACUGGGACUCACAGAUCCUAAUCUGCGCUGUUACAAAUUUCAACAAGAAAAAUACUCAGCAACAGUGAGUUGUCCUGGACCUCUGACCACACUUGAAGAUGCAUUUAUGUUGGAAGUGCCCUAUAGAUUGACCAACAAGUUCAAAAUUUGA
rnacentral:lncRNA from 1 species